AUGAUCAUCAAAAAAUUGUACAGUGAGACAGAGAAGAGAAAUAAGAUUCUCAGCAGCAAGCACCGCUCUGACUUUGAAGUCUGGAACUUGGAAAAUGUGCAGUCAUUUGAUACUACCACCUUCUUUUCUGAAUCUGCCAAGCAGUUUCUUCCUAAAGAUGAAAAACUAGAUUCAAGAAGCUUAAGAACUUGCACGGAGGAAAGUGGUAAAGUAAAAGUUUCCUCCAUAACGUAGGGGGAGCCCGAGUUUGUACCUUUUCUCUUUUUCUUUCUGCCUUUCAGAAUAAAGACCAGGAAUCUUCCUAAUUCUAAGUAUCU
rnacentral:lncRNA from 1 species